rnacentral:rRNA from 1 species
CCUACGGGAGGCAGCAGUGAGGAAUAUUGGUCAAUGGACGAGAGUCUGAACCAGCCAAGUAGCGUGAAGGAUGACUGCCCUAUGGGUUGUAAACUUCUUUUAUAUGGGAAUAAAAUGUUCCACGUGUGGGAUUUUGUAUGUACCAUAUGAAUAAGGAUCGGCUAACUCCGUGCCAGCAGCCGCGGUAAUACGGAGGAUCCGAGCGUUAUCCGGAUUUAUUGGGUUUAAAGGGAGCGUAGGUGGAUUGUUAAGUCAGUUGUGAAAGUUUGCGGCUCAACCGUAAAAUUGCAGUUGAAACUGGCAGUCGUGAGUACAGUAGAGGUGGGCGGAAUUCGUGGUGUAGCGGUGAAAUGCUUAGAUAUCACGAAGAACUCCGAGUGCGAAGGCAGCUCACUGGACUGCAACUGACACUGAGGCUCGAAAGUGUGGGUAUCAAACAGGAUUAGAUACCCCAGUAGUC